rnacentral:lncRNA from 1 species
GGAGAAUUCAAAUCUCUGUCAGCCCCAGAACGCUGGCGGGGGUGGCUGGAGGCCCCGGUUGGGAGGUGCCUCACUGGGCAGGACCUCCAGAACUCCAUGCCAGGGAGAAUUCAAAUCUCUGUCAGCCCCAGAACACUGGUGGGGGUGGCUGGAGGCCCCGGUUGGGAGGUGCCUCACUGGGCAGGACCUCCAGACCUCCAUGCCAGGGAGAAUUCAAAUCUCUGCCAGCCCGAGAACACUGGUGGGGGUGGCUGGAGGCCCGGUUGGGAGGUCCCGCCCAGUGAGGAGGAAUGGAUCACAGACCUUCUUAAAGACCCAGUAUGGCCACAUUUUGGUAGAGCACCUUGCUAUGCCCACCCCGCCAGUGUUCUCAGGAUGACAGAUUUGGAUUCUCCCUGGCAUGGAGGUCUUGAGGUCCUGCCAAGAGAGGGACCUCCCAACCGAGGCCUCCAGCAACCCCUGCCAGUGUUCUGGGGCUGACAGAGAUUUGAAUUCUCCCUGCCAUGAAGGCCUCAGGGUCUGGCCCAGUGAGGGACCUCCCAACCAUGGCCUCCAGCCACCCCCGCUGGUGUUCCAGGGCUGACAGAGAUCUGAAUUCUCCCUGGCACGUAGUUCUCAAGGUCCUGCCCAAUGAGGGUCCUUUUACCUGGGGUCCCCAGCCACCCCCUCCGGUGUUCUCAGGCUGACAGAGAUUUGAGUUCUCCCUGGCAUGGAGGUCUUGAGGUCCUGCCCAGUGAGGGACCUCUCAACCGUGGCCUCCAGCCACCCCCACCGGUGUUCUCGGGCUGACAGUGAUUUGAGUUCUCCCUGGCAUGGAGGUCUCGGGGUCUUGCCCAGUGAGGAACCCCCCCAACCGGGGCCUGCAGCCACCCUCGCUGGUGUUCUGGGGCUGACAGAGAUUUGAAUUCUCCCAGGCAUGGAGUUUGUGAGGUCCCACCCAGUUAGGGUUCUCCUAACUGAGACCUCUGGCCACUCACACCUGUGUUCUCAUGCUGAAAGAGAUUUGAAUUCUUCCUGGCAUGGAGGUCUCCGGUUCCUGCCCAGUGAGGGUCCUUCCAACUCAGGCCUCCAGCCAACUCCCCCCACCCCCG